UGAGUAACCUGCCCUUCACUCUGGGAUAACCCCGGGAAACCGGAGCUAAUACCGGAUACUCCGGCUGGAUCGCAUGGUCCGGCCGGGAAAGGUCCGCCGGAGAGGGAUGGGCCCGCGGCCUAUCAGCUUGUUGGUGGGGUACG
rnacentral:rRNA from 1 species